ensembl:snRNA Gm24126 U6 spliceosomal RNA
GUGCUCGUUUCAGGAGCACAUAUACUAAAAUUGGAAAGAUACAGUGACAAUUAGCAUUGCCCUGCGCAAGAAUGAGAUGCAAAUUAAUGAAAAGCAUUCUAUAAAC